UUUGCGAGAGAUGCAGAUUUUAAGCGAGAAUCAAAGAGUUUAAAGUAAGUACAAUAGAACUCGAUUUAUCUGUGCUCGUCGGCAGACAAACAGUUUAUAUAAUUGCAGUUCAUAAAAUAGAAGCUCGCCAAUCGUUCCUGCAAUUACGUUUUGUUCGCAUAACAGAAGCUCGCGUUCAGAUGAACAAAUCGAGCCAGAAGAAGUUAAUCGUAAUAACGAAGCAGUGACAAGCCAAGAGUUGAACCGUAAAGAACGAACCGCGAUAACCAAGAUAGGAUCGGGGCAUACUCAACUGACACGUAUGUACAUACUGGAAAACAGUAAAUGUGACAUCCGCAGUGUCAGGCUAUCGAUCACCCAUGUAAUCACAGAGCGUUCUAUAUAGAACAAUUGAAGGAGAGAAACAUAAUGUCGACGAUAAUCUUAACGAUAUCCUCCCCGGUGAUCUCGUUCCAACGGAAAAAUUAUCAACCUCUGUAAAGAAAUUAAGAUAUUGAACAGAAUUUGGUAAAUCAGCGUUUAUAAAAAUAGUCGCCAAUGAUCGUAGUUGUAGUCGAUGCGACUUUAAAUUAAAUAAAUAAGAAUAACGAUAAAGUUUCGUUCAGGUGAACGAUAGUUCAGCUGUGAUAUGUCGUAAAAGCAGAAAGUUUGUCGAAACUCGCGAAGGAAACGCUACGUAGUAAAAAAUAAUAAAUGAAUGAAUAACAUAAAAUUUGCAUAAGCGUUUUCAGACUUGUGACAAUGGAGAGAUAGAGAAAGCAUAAUGAUGACGACGUACUUCCAAUAUAUGAAGGUCGGUGCCGCAAAUCCCGGAAUAAGCGACCCUGAUUCGAACUUCGUUCGGCCCUGGCGUCGGUAUUUCCGCCCUUCGCAACGCAAGGGUUCGGUUCUUCACGUCGAAACUAAGGAAUUCCAUGAUCUCACUCGUGCUGUCGCGUAUCGUACUAUAAAGCGUCACGAUAUCUCUAUCCAACAUUUAUAUAUACGUCUUGCGACAUAUUUAUGUUUAUAUGUUGGUGCCGUGCGCCGAUAUUUAAUCGCCAAAUGCUGUCGCAUGUGUAAGUAUGUAACGCGGCAGUCGUCGAGACGAUCACACCGAAUGGAAAAUUAAGGAAUCAGAUUUAAAAUGUUCGGCGACGCAUGCAUAAGUCGAUUGAAAAUGGAAUUAAAAGGACGUGUCCAAGGUAGUUUGCAGUAUU